UUGAGGGAUAGCUCAGUUGGUAAAGCAUGCGAAUAUUAAUCUCAGGGUUGUGGGUUUGAACCCCAUGCUGGGUGAAAG